rnacentral:tRNA from 1 species
GUCGCCAUAGCUCAGUCAGGAAGAGCACCGGUCUGUCGAACCGGCGGUCGCGGGAUCGAAGCCCGCUGGCGGCG